rnacentral:tRNA from 1 species
UCUACCAAAGGAUAGCAGUAUUCCAB